AUAUUUUCAACGGCACUAUUUUAUAGGAGGACAACAUCAUGCCAUUACUACAAGGAAUAACUUACUAAGGUUUGGCACGUUGUCGUCUCACGGACAAGUGACAAAUCUGCUGAUCACUUGUCCGAAUGCUUUAUUAGACCUGGCAUUCGCUAGGUUUUUUUACGCCUAUUCGGACAGA
rnacentral:ncRNA from 1 species